AAGUGUACUUAUCUUUGGAUGAAAGUCUGGUCGGUGACGACAAAAUUGUCUGGCCCUCGAGCUUUUGGACUUGUUAUCGUGACGGUGGUCGCUGUUGUCGUAGCGUCGUUCUUCGCGGCGAUUAUUAUUGCGACUGGUGGUCAGAGCAAGUAGGCCAAACAAUUUGGUCGAUGGCCCGAGCAGGUCGGUGUUGUCGAUCUGCCUCCCUUUGUAGCAGGGAAGCGGGUGACGCGUUGUCGGCGUGGUCGGAGACGUUGCUGGAGUAGUCGGAGUCGUAGCCAGCGUGGUUGAAGCCGCCGCUGACGUCGAUGAAGAAGUGGUUGGCGCAGAUCGGAUCUACACCUCCUCCGUGGUCAUGGCGGUGAAGUUGUUGAAGCUGACGGUGAACGUGAAGCCGCCCGCCAUGGCCGCGAAGUCGGGGAUGAUGACCAUCUCGUUCGUCGAAGAAGUUGUACGCACACCCCCUACCUAGCGCGCCACUGUCGACGAAAGCUGGUCGGCAGUCUACCUUGGGGUAUACCCACGG
rnacentral:lncRNA from 1 species